rnacentral:rRNA from 1 species
GAUCUUUGAUCCUGGCUCAGGAUGAACGCUAGCUACAGGCUUAACACAUGCAAGUCGAGGGGCAGCAUGUUGGUUGCUUGCAACCAAUGAUGGCGACCGGCGCACGGGUGAGUAACGCGUAUCCAACCUACCCAAUACUCAGGCAUAACCCGUUGAAAGACGGACUAAUUCCUGAUGGUAUGUAUUUUUCUCAUGAAUUAUACAUUAAAGAAUUUCGGUAUUGGAUGGGGAUGCGUCUGAUUAGUUUGUUGGUGAGGUAACGGCUCACCAAGACAUCGAUCAGUAGGGGUUCUGAGAGGAAGGUCCCCCACAUUGGAACUGAGACACGGUCCAAACUCCUACGGGAGGCAGCAGUGAGGAAUAUUGGUCAAUGGAUGGAAAUCUGAACCAGCCAAGUAGCGUGCAGGAUGACGGCCCUAUGGGUUGUAAACUGCUUUUAUGUGAGAAUAAAGUUAGGUAUGUAUACUUAUUUGCAUGUAUCACAUGAAUAAGGACCGGCUAAUUCCGUGCCAGCAGCCGCGGUAAUACGGAAGGUCCAGGCGUUAUCCGGAUUUAUUGGGUUUAAAGGGAGCGUAGGCGGAUUAUUAAGUCAGUGGUGAAAGACGGUGGCUCAACCAUCGUUAGCCAUUGAAACUGGUAGUCUUGAGUGCAGACAGGGAUGCUGGAACUCGUGGUGUAGCGGUGAAAUGCUUAGAUAUCACGAUGAACUCCGAUCGCGAAGGCAGGUGUCCGGGCUGCAACUGACGCUGAGGCUCGAAAGUGUGGGUAUCAAACAGGAUUAGAUACCCUGGUAGUCCACACAGUAAACGAUGUAUACUCGCGGUUUGCGAUAGAUUGUAAGCCGCCAAGCGAAAGCAUUAAGUAUACCACCUGGGGAGUACGCCGGCAACGGUGAAACUCAAAGGAAUUGACGGGGGCCCGCACAAGCGGAGGAACAUGUGGUUUAAUUCGAUGAUACGCGAGGAACCUUACCCGGGAGAUCGGAAGAGCGUCGUGUAGGGAAAGAGUGUAGAUCUCGGUGGU